AACGCACGAGACCUGCGGACCUGCGGAAGGAUCAUUAAUGAGUGUUAACCCCCCGUAAAAAAGGGAGGUACCUCCUGUCCUUUGCAGGCCCUUUUUAGGGGCUUUUUUGACUUUCUGCUUCGGUGGGGUUAUCCUGCCGGAACAACUUCAAAACUCCGAUUAAAAAACUGUUCUGUCCGAGUGUCUUUAUAAUAUGAAAAAAAAACUUUCAACAACGGAUCUCUAGAUCGGAAGAGCACA
rnacentral:misc_RNA from 1 species